GUGGAGGAAAUCAGCGGCCUCUCACCGUGUCCUGCAAAACGAAACGAAACACCGCCGAGAACAGAAGAGCAGCACGUAGGAGAGCAGAGCACCCGAGGCCAGGUCUUCUCGUUGCCGAAGCAAAGUGGCAAACUACCUUUAUUUCAGGGCUGGCGUUGCUACGGCUGAUGCAUCGACGCAGCGGAGACCAGAGUCUUGUCAAUGUUUGCGUCAUUGGAAAGAUUCACAGGAGGACGAGCGAGCCUGGGAGUUGAAGAGCCUGACUACACUGCCAGCCUGAGGCCUGUGUGAAGCCCACGGGGGGGCCACGUGUCCUCAGCGUCCUGUGACUCCCCAGAGAGGACCCCGACGCUGACCAGGCCUUGGAGAACACCCAACGGAAGUCUGGGAGAGGCGGCACGAUUCGGAGCUCCAGCCCCUUCCCAGUACUCCGAGAUGAAUUCAUUCUUCUGUACGGGAUCUUUGAUGAAGAUGCCCCAGCCUGCCACGUCGGAUGGCGCCAGCAACAAAUGCUAGAGAAGAACACGUGCACAACCACAUCAGCAAAGGAGCAGAGACGCAGUGCUGACACGUGAGCCACACGAUGACCCGCCGUCCGUCCUCGGCCCCGUUCCAGAGCAGUCACUCAACCAGACGCUGUCGGCAGGAGAGCUCUGAGCACCCCAAACCAAGGGGCCAGCUUCCCAGGUAUUGGAAAAGCACAGCUUCCUUUAUAAGUAAAGCCAUCUUUGGUCCUACCAUUAAGCAAAUGAAACCCCGUUGACAAAAAGUAUGUUCUCCCCUGUGUCAGUUCUCCAAGCAGUCUGCAAAGGUGUGUCAACGUGAACGGUUUCCGAACAUAGACGAGUAUGGGGCGGGGGGAAAGGAGAUGGUGAGGACUGAGCGGGGGGCCUUGGGGACUGUCCCAGCAUCACUGUGACGUGAGGACGAAAUUCACAACCUAGUGUAAGAAAAUCACCUAACCCCUGAGCCCGGCCAGCCAGCGCUGGCAGUGACCCCAGUUACGUGCUAGGACGGCUCCGGACCCUAAGCUGGGAACGUGCCUCUCUGUUCUAACGGGAACGCAUCUACUCCCACGGGGCCUGUGUACAACUAGAAAAAUGCCUCUCCUGCCUCUGCUGUCAUCCGGGGCUGGUGUCGGCAGGGGAGGGUGUCCCGUCGAAAACAAGAGGACUGACCGCCUAGGUCUUCCCCUCCAAGCCCCAUCUUCCCCCCGCCACCGUGGCACCCGGGACUCCCUUCGCUUUAGCGAGCAGCGGCGACGAGCCGGCGGCUGGCGGGGGAGGCAAGCGCACCUUCUUGGAGCCGCGCUGGAUGCUGCAGUUCUUGCAGGACACGUUCUUGCUGUCCCAGUGGUCGGCGGCGCCGCAGGUGAGGCAGAGGUCCGGGUCGCACUCGCGCACGGCCAGGUAGCACGGGCACUGCUUGGUGUUGCACUGAGCCUUGCAGCGGCAGCCGGGGAAGCGGUUCUGACCUUCGGGAAGAGGGUCCUCAUCAUCUGCGAGCCUUGUGGGUCUGGGAGCGUGCAGAGCCUGGACUCUGUCAGGUCCCCUCACCCCCGGACCCCCCUCCCCCACCCGGACCCGAGAGGAAACUGAAGGGACAGGAAGGAAGAGCUGUCACUACUGAAAACGAGCGCCACUGAGCUCCUGGCUUUCCAUUCGUAUUUGUCAGGUGGCACGCGUAUGGAAAAGCUCUUUGAUUUAUAAAGUGGGUGUGAAGGAAGGGUUUAGACGAAAGAAGAGCCAUGGCUUGUGACCCUUCUCUGGGUCUGCAGUGCUAGACCCUUCUUGGUGUCCAAGCUGCCUGUGCCAUUCCGUUAAAUGCUGAGAGUCACCUCGACGGUGACUUCUGCGCCCAGCAUGCUGACCACUUCUGGGACCCGGCUAGAUGCCCUUUACGUUCUGUGCCAACUUGACUAUGAUUUAAUUUAAACGAUCCGGUGCUGCCUGAUCUGCCCACAGACACGCGCUGGCCACCAGCGCCCCAUAAAUCCUUAUAGAAUAAAUGCAUUUCCUAAAAAGCUAAAAAAGGGAAACAAGCAAGAGCUGCUAUGCUGUCAUUUACUAUUUUAAACUGCUGCCCAAAAGCCUCUAAUUUUCAUGCAGUUCAUCAAAGCAAAUACUUACACUCUGAACUACACUGACAAAACUUUUCACAAAAAUUUUGUGCGAUCACGCAAGGGCACGAACUGUCACAAGGCUGCCGUGGAUGGUCACAGGGUUGGUAGUUGUAAACGUGGUUCGAGGAGCCAUCUGCGUAAGGAGAGAACACACAGCUCAAUCCAGAGGCAGUCAAACACCACGAGCAAGAACGUGUCCUUCCCCGGUACACUGGCUGGCAGCAUGUCUUCCGUGCUGUGUGCGCGGUGAUGGCAGCUACUGCCUCCCACCCCCCACGUGCCUGGCGAGUCCAGAGGACUCCCCUCACUGGCUGACCCGCUCCUGCUGCACCAGAGGACUAACUGGACGCUAAUCAGCAGACAUCCUCCAUCUAAAUGGGUUUAAGCCAGGGAGUACGUGACAGCAGAAAUCCAACAGAAGCUACUGAGAAGGUCAGCGUGGGCCCCGAGUGUAACAGCGCUUUGAGUCCAAGAACAGCUGACCCUUGAACAAGGUGGGGUUGGGGGUGUGAACAUCCCACACCAUCCCCCCCAAGAUCUGCAUGUAAGUUUUGACUCCCCAAAAACUCAGCCUGUGGACCAUAAGCCUCACUAGUAACUGAUUGGUACAGAUUUUCUAUGUCACACGUAUCAUAUACUGUCCUUACAAUAAAGUAAGCUAGAGAGAAAAUACAGAGAAACUAUACGUGCAGGACCAGAAAACACAUAUUAAGUGGCCCCAUGUUGUUCGAGGGUCUGCUCUUAACCACACAGGAGGGCUCACCCCCCGCUGCCUCUGCGGGAGCGCGGGCCGCCCCGGGGGAGCCAGCCCCUCCGGCCCUGGCUUUCCGUGGCAGGCCACGUCUACCUGGGUUCACUUGAAGUGGGUGAGCCUGAAAUAAUAGCAUGUGUCUAAUUUCAGGCAUCUGUAGUCAUUCCACUGAGCUAUAUGAUCAGAAUUCAACCAAGAGAUGCAGCUAUCUCUACUAAAGCCUAAAUUCCUGUGGGGAAAACUAUGUUCUUCCAGUUCUAAAUUAAGUUAGUCCCACCGUCCAUAAAGGGAAUGUGAGCCUGCGCAGAGCUGAAGUGUCGUCCUUCACCCUUAGCCGACCGUGCUGCUCUCCCCAGACCGUGUGGGCCGGAGGAAAGGUGAGCGGACAGGCGUGGUUUCCGGCUCUACACUGACAAAAGAAGUCUGCCCGAAAACCCUCCCCGGGCUCCUCACUCCGCACGAGCCCCUGUGACAGGUGACCUUCACCAGGCUGAAAGCGGGGUGUCUGUGGAGACCAGAAAGCAACCCCGCACCUGGAGAACGCGGGCUCCUAGAAUGAAAGCCAGCUCAGCCCUCCCAUCACCUCCCAUCAGCCCUCAAGAUGCCGGCCCAGGGCCACAUCCGAGAUCCCUCUUAGAGCAAGUGGAGCCUUUACCGCAGAAGCUCCUAACCAGGUUUCCUUAACUAAACUGCAGCAUGGUGACCGUCAUUUUUAGGACUCUCCACACACCAAGUCUAUUGCAGGCUUAAGGGAGACGACGCACAAGCGCCGAGGCCAGCACGACUCCGGGGUCCGUGGCCGGACGGAGGCUGCGCCCUCGCACGGCCGCACGCAGGCUUACCGGUGUUUCCUCU